rnacentral:lncRNA from 1 species
CUCGGGUGGUUUAGGAUGCUGGAACAUCCGAUAGAGCAGGUAUUCCCAACCUGGGAGUACGACAAAUAAAAAUGUGAUUCACAUUUUAAAAAUGUUUUUAUUUAUUUUUUAUUAAUGCUUCUCAUUUUCAAACAGUCCAUUUAUAUAUUCCAACGGGACGAUACAUUUGGGAGGACGGUCUUGAACUCUCCGAUGGCCUUGUAAGUCCUGUUGGUGUCCAGCUGCCAAAAGAGGGAAUGAAUGGUCAACAACAUAUCAUAAACACACUCUACUAUUGGAUACUACAGCCAUAGGAGAUGGAACUGAUUGGUUACUACAGCCAUAGGAGAUGGAACUGAUUGGAUACUACAGCCAUAGGAGAUGGAACUGAUUGGUUACUACAGCCAUAGGAGAUGGAACUGAUUGGAUACUACAGCCAUAGGAGAUGGAACUGAUUGGAUACUACAGCCAUGGGGGAUGGAACUGAUUGGUUACUACAGCCAUGGGGGAUGGAACUGAUUGGAUACUACAGCCAUAGGGGAUGGAACUGAUUGGUUACUACAGCCAUGGGGGAUGGAACUGAUUGGAUACUACAGCCAUAGGGGAUGGAACUGAUUGGUUACUACAGCCAUAGGGGAUGGAACUGAUUGGAUACUACAGCCAUAGGAGAUGGAACUGAUUGGAUACUACAGCCAUAGGGGAUGGAACUGAUUGGAUACUACAGCCAUAGGAGAUGGAACUGAUUGGAUACUACAGCCAUAGGGGAUGGAACUGAUUGGAUACUACAGCCAUAGGAGAUGGAACUGAUUGGAUACUACAGCCAUAGGGGAUGGAACUGAUUGGAUACUACAGCCAUGGGGGAUGGAACUGAUUGGAUACUACAGCCAUAGGGGAUGGGACUGAUUGGAUACUACAGCCAUAGGAGAUGGAACUGAUUGGAUACUACAGCCAUAGGGGAUGGAACUGAUUGGUUACUACAGCCAUAGGAGAUGGAACUGAUUGGUUACUACAGCCAUAGGGGAUGGAACUGAUUGGAUACUACAGCCAUAGGGGAUGGAACUGAUUGGAUACUACAGCCAUAGGGGAUGGAACUGAUUGGAUACUACAGCCAUAGGAGAUGGAACUGAUUGGAUACUACAGCCAUAGGGGAUGGAACUGAUUGGAUACUACAGCCAUAGGGGAUGGAACUGAUUGGAUACUACAGCCAUAGGGGAUGGAACUGAUUGGAUACUACAGCCAUAGGAGAUGGAACUGAUUGGAUACUACAGCCAUAGGGGAUGGAACUGAUUGGAUACUACAGCCAUAGGAGAUGGAACUGAUUGGAUACUACAGCCAUAGGGGAUGGAACUGAUUGGAUACUACAGCCAUAGGGGAUGGAACUGAUUGGAUACUACAGCCAUGGGGGAUGGAACUGAUUGGAUACUACAGCCAUAGGGGAUGGAACUGAUUGGAUACUACAGCCAUAGGGGAUGGAACUGAUUGGAUACUACAGCCAUGGGGGAUGGAACUGAUUGGAUACUACAGCCAUAGGGGAUGGAACUGAUUGGAUACUACAGCCAUAGGGGAUGGAACUGAUUGGAUACUACAGCCAUAGG